GUGUGUAUGUGAACUCUUUUAAGAAUCCUAGGAAUUGUAGUUUGGCAAAGAUAACGGGAAAUGUCAGUAAGAAGUUACAGUUCUCGAUACAAACAGCUACAUUUCCUUGGGGAGAAAAAACAGCUGUUCAACUAAUUUAGGUUUCUUCUGUCCAUCAACUCAACUGUUUUGUCUUUCCUUGUCCCAAAAGCUUUGCAGAUGUGUGCAUAUCUGGGGGGGAGGUUCAAAUGGUUAAUGAUUUCUGCACACACAUACCCUGCUUAGUAUACACCUGAAUUAUGAUGUAAUUAUUGUUUGCAGAGUGAUCUCGUUUCUUUCUUUAAAUUGAUAAAUGUGUCAAUGUCAAAAAUGUGCCCUUGUUACUCAUCUAGCAAAAAUGUAGGUAUCUAUUUUCCUGGGUUAAGAUGAGUUGUUGUUACAUUCCAUUGUCUAUGGUAAUUCUCAGUCAUCCAGGUCAUGGUUGUCCCAAAGUUGCCUUUUGAAAAAAGAACCUUUGGGACAUUCCAUUCCAUUGAAUUCUGAAAUUUGGAAUCUGGGAUUGAAGAGUCUUAGACCUGCCAAAAGAGUUUCAGAAUAUCUUAAAUAUAAACAUAGGAGAGAAUAUCCUAUAAUACAUCUGUAAUGCAAAUACAGAUUAAACACUCAAGUGGAAUGUUGAUUCCCUGAGAACGAAUGUGAUUGGAUGUUUUUAAAUAUUUCUCCUACCCCCUUAUUCAUGGAUUGGCCUAUCGUGUUUCUCUGAGGCUUGCCUUAAACUUUUCACUUCCACAACAGUUGAGUCUUGUAAACUAUACAGCACUAAAGUCCUUUUUUUUUUUUGGGUUCUGGUGAUAUUGGGGAGAGAAGGGCUUUUAAUUGUAUGUGGGUUUUUAAAUAGUUCUUUUGCCAAAUAUACAGCAAAAGGAUGGAAAUGCCUAUGGUACUGGGUGCUUGGUGUAUACCAUGUAUACUAUAUCUCAGUUUUCUGCUAUUUGUGUGUCAGUGGCAAACCUGAAAUAAAAAUGGUUAAAUAUUUAAA